CCUCUGUGAAGCCUGAACUCGAGUAGGGCCCAAGCCAGCAAGGAGGAGGCAGCUAGAGUGGCCUCCACUGUUCUCUGCAGCAGAAGACCCCCUGCUGCCAGUGAACUGCAAGCAUUCCUAUUGACUUCAAGUGAAAAGCCCUAGGGAACUGAAUGUGUGCUUGUGAAGCUAGAAACAUAAUGUGAAGACAUCACAUAACAGCAGAAUCCAUAAAUCAGUUAUCAGAAUCCUCUCCAAAUUCGGCUGGCUGAGUAUGACCUUUUGCUGAGAACUGGUGCUGGAGAUGGUUAAAAGGCUGUGUGUCAUCCGCUCCUCUCAGCUUUCCACACGGCAAGGCAGCCUGAGAGUCUUUGAUCCCGCCAGCAGGCUCAACCUCUGAAAGAACCCUGAAGAGACACACGAGUGUUCCAGACAAAGAGGAGCUGCUUUCCUCCUACUGGCACAGCAGUUGUGGCUGUCUGAGCCUGAGGCAGCACAGUCUGCAGCAUGGAGACAAAGAGCAGCCAGCCUCGACAGCCUGUUUGCUGUCAGGACCUGUCUUAGCCAUUCUCUCAAUAUGAGAAACUGUCACAUCCGUGAUUUUAAUUGAGGGCUGCUUUGCGCUGCCAAAUUCCUCUACCCGAUUAUGUAUGUAACUGUGUGGGGGAAAGCUAAUGUGAAGUGAACCGUAUAUGUGGCAGAAUGGCAGCCAUCUCUGUGAGUGCACCUGCUGGGAAAGGGCAGCCAUUAGGAUGGACCUGUACAGUACAGUCCACAGUCACCUUUCUCCAUGCGCUGAGGCCUAAGCACAGACAAUCCCAGCUAGUUCCCAGCAUCAGGCCAUAAAUUCUUGGUUCAAGCCUCGGAGUUCUUGACAAUCUCUUUUGGUCCCAUUAUCACCUUUCUUGGGCUGAAUUCUCCAGCCUAGAUAUGGUUUCUCUCCUUUUUGAUCUGCAUCUCUCACUUGUACAUUCUAUCCAUUAUCUCCUUUUAGGCCCUGGGCUGACUCCCUCCCUUUUAUGGUCCUUUGCUGAGCAGUAUGACUGGCGGCCUGUAGGUUAGUAGUGCUGUUCUUUGCUGCUUCAGUUCAGCAGCACAGGGAUUAGCCAGCUGGGAUGGCAUUCUCAUCAUAAUGAUGGUUAUAACAACACUUAGACUGGAGACUGGCUCAGACUCAGGUAUACUGCAAGGCCAGGGAUGUUGUAAGUGGUGAUUAUCUACUGCUAAGCUUUUUCAUAUGCUGUGUGGUGUUAUUUAUAACAGUAGGGAUCCAACUGCAUAAACAGGGCCUCUUGUCAGAUGGUUGAUUGCAUACAAAGGGCUGAACCAAAUGGCUGAUGUCUUUCAAGCUGCCAAAGUAAUCAGCCAUUUGUUUCAAUUUGGAGCUAGGAAGUCCCAGCAAUUGCUUGAUCCAAAUACGAUAACUGACCUAGUUGCAUACACUCUUUAUGUCUGGGGCUGACAGAUAGGCAGCACCUUCCCUGUCAUUUAAAGCAACCCCACGCCCUCCGAACCGGUUUGAACACCGGUGGACAGAACCAGUUCAGCACUCCAGGAAGGGAGUGCCAAACCAGUUUCGUGCACAACCUAGCAUGUGCAUAGGCCAUUCGUGUGGACCACACAUUUGCAUGGUCGCACUAAUGGCCCAUGCACAUAUGUGGAAUUUAAAAAAUAGCCUCCACCCCUGCACAGAGGCCCAAAACAGGCUGGAGAAGGCCCGAAACAGGCCCAAAAUGGGAAAAUUUGAACCAGAAAAUUCAAACUGAACUGGAAAAAACAGUUUUGUGCUCACCCCCUAAUUCAUACACACAUACAUACACACAUACAAACUAAAAGGAAGAAGUGGGAGUCUAAGAGAAGGAGGGGGAGAAGAGAAAGCCAGAACAAGAAAUCUGAGAAGAGAAGAAUAACAGGAAAAGAGAAUGAGCAGAAAUGAGAGAUUCACAAGGGCAACAGAGGCAGGGGUGAGGAAAACUGAAGUUCACAUAUUGAUUUGAAGUAAUCAGCCAAAUCUUUGUUUGUAGGUCUCUCUAUGACUAGUGAAAUUAUAUAGAGAACCAAGGACAGAAAUUGCAAUCAGAAGGAAAUUAGUGGUAGGGUGUCCAUCUGGAAAAGAUAAUUAAGUAAUGAAUUGUUACCUGGGAAACUGAAGAGUAUAUAUUAUAUAAAUAUCUAUUUAAUUGAUUAAAUCUGCAGAGAGGAAAAAGAACAGAAGAAAAGAACAAAUGCUUCAACAAAUGUUAUCUCAAAUACCCUACUAGGGUUAGGGUUGAGCUACUGAUUCAGGAAAAAAAAAUCAAAAAUUCAUUAAAAACUAUGUGAUUGGCCAGUAGUUUUGUGGGUUGGGUGGUAGGUAGCACGCAUCCUGCCCUACCACCCUACCUGCUUUGGUGUCCCAGGGAGCUACCCACAGGGAAUAAUGGGGUUGCUCAAGUUCCCCAUUAUUCCCUAUGGGUGAAACAGUGCACUGUCACACAAACCAGUGCAAAAGGCAUAUCAUCUCCAUCUGUCCCUCCCAACACAGAACACAGGGUACAUUCCAAACAAGGUACAAAAAAGAAUCACUGACCCAGAAUCCCCUGCCAGACCCAGUGCCAGGUGCCUGCGGUGCAUCAUUGGCACAAGUUGCUCUCUCACACACUGACACACAAUUAUGAUUCUAUUGCAGCAGCAGCAGCAGCAGCAGCAGCAGCAGCAGCAGCAGCACACACCCUUAGUAAGCAUAGCCAUAAGCUAAACCAGAACAACAUCCUCUUCAGCCACAUUUUGACUGAAUACUCUUGCAUUGCAGACCAGAGCACCGAGUGAAGCACAGGAGUCUCAAGGACAGGCAUGGAGCUCACCUCACAGCAAUUACCAAGAAAAUGUUACUCACAGUAGUGGCUACUGUCCAUUUCUUGUCACAACACCACCAUCUAACAAACAGACCAAACCACAGCAACUGAAGACAUGCAGGCAGGCACUCAAGUUCUGCCUCUGUCCCUCUGAGAUCCAGCAAAACCAGACAGUUAAAACAAUAAGCAAUAGCAGAGCAAGAAUAUUAUAAUCAGAAAACAAACAAAAAAACCCCCACAAACUUC